AUAUCAAUAAGCGGAGGAAAAGAAACUAACCAGGAUUCCCCUAGUAACGGCGAGUGAAGCGGGAAGAGCUCAAAUUUAAAAUCUGGCGUCCUACGGGCGUCCGAGUUGUAAUCUAUAGAAGUGUUUUCCGUGGUGGACCGUGUCCAAGUUCCUUGGAAAAGGAUAUCAGAGAAGGUGACAAUCCCGUCCUUGACACGACAACCAUUGCUCUGUGAUACACUUUCUACGAGUCGAGUUGUUUGGGAAUGCAGCUCAAAAUGGGUGGUAAAUUCCAUCUAAAGCUAAAUAUUGGCGAGAGACCGAUAGCGAACAAGUACCGUGAGGGAAAGAUGAAAAGCACUUUGGAAAGAGAGUUAAACAGUAUGUGAAAUUGUUGAAAGGGAAACGAUUGAAGUCAGUCGUGUUGGAAAAGUUCAGCCAGCUCUGCUGGUGUAUUCUUCUUCAACGGGUCAACAUCAGUUUAGAUUGGUGGAUAAAGACAAGGGAAUGUGGCUCUUCGGAGUGUUAUAGCCCUUGCUCGCAUACACUGGUUCAGACUGAGGACUGCAGCUCGCCUUUAUGGCCGGGGUUCGCCCACGUUCGAGCUUAGGAUGUUGACAUAAUGGCUUUAAACGA
rnacentral:rRNA from 1 species